AGAGUUUGAUCCUAGCUCAGGAUGAACGCUCGCUGUGUGCCUAAUACAUGCAUGUUGAACGGGAUGUAGCAAUACAUUCAGUAGCGAAUGGGUGAGUAACACGUACCUAACCUACCUUUAAGACUGGGAUAACUAUUGGAAACAAUAGCUAAUACCGGAUAUAGUUAUUUAUCGCAUGAUGAGUAAUAGAAAGGAGCUUCACAGCUUCACUUAAAAAUGGGGGUGCGGAACAUUAGUUAGUUGGUAGGGUAAUGGCCUACCAAGACGAUGAUGUUUAGCCGGGCCGAGAGGCUGUACGGCCACACUGGGACUGAGAUACGGCCCAGACUCCUACGGGAGGCAGCAGUAAGGAAUUUUCCACAAUGAGCGAAAGCUUGAUGGAGCGACACAGCGUGCAGGAUGAAGUUCUUCGGAAUGUAAACUGCUGUUAUAAGGGAAGAAAAAAUAGAAUAGGAAAUGAUUUUAUCUUGACGGUACCUUAUUAGAAAGCGACGGCAAACUAUGUGCCAGCAGCCGCGGUAAUACAUAGGUCGCAAGCGUUAUCCGGAAUUAUUGGGCGUAAAGCGUCCGUAGGUUUUUUGCUAAGUCUGGAGUUAAAUGCUGAAGCUCAACUUCAGUCCGCUUUGGAUACUGGCAAAAUAGAAUUAUAAAGAGGUUAGCGGAAUUCCUAGUGAAGCGGUGGAAUGCGUAGAUAUUAGGAAGAACACCAAUAGGCGAAGGCAGCUAACUGGUUAUAUAUUGACACUAAGGGACGAAAGCGUGGGGAGCAAACAGGAUUAGAUACCCUGGUAGUCCACGCCGUAAACGAUGAUCAUUAGUUGGUGGAAUAAUUUCACUAACGCAGCUAACGCGUUAAAUGAUCCGCCUGAGUAGUAUGCUCGCAAGAGUGAAACUUAAAGGAAUUGACGGGAACCCGCACAAGCGGUGGAGCAUGU
rnacentral:rRNA from 1 species